rnacentral:rRNA from 1 species
UACGAAGGGGGCUAGCGUUGCUCGGAAUCACUGGGCGUAAAGGGUGCGUAGGCGGGUCUUUAAGUCAGGGGUGAAAUCCUGGAGCUCAACUCCAGAACUGCCUUUGAUACUGAAGAUCUUGAGUUCGGGAGAGGUGAGUGGAACUGCGAGUGUAGAGGUGAAAAUUCGUAGAUAUUCGCAAGAACACCAGUGGCGAAGGCGGCUCACUGGUCCGGUUCUGACGCUGAGGCGCGAAAGCGUGGGGAGCAAACAGG